GAUGAACGCUGGCGGCGUGCCUAAUACAUGCAAGUCGAGCGAACAGAUAAGGAGCUUGCUCCUUUGACGUUAGCGGCGGACGGGUGAGUAACACGUGGGUAACCUACCUAUAAGACUGGAAUAACUUCGGGAAACCGGGGCUAAUGCCGGAUAACCUUUAGAACCGCAUGGUUCUACAGUGAAAGAUGGUUUUGCUAUCACUUAUAGAUGGACUCGCGCCGUAUUAGCUAGUUGGUAAGGUAACGGCUUACCAAGGCAACGAUACGUAGCCGACCUGAGAGGGUGAUCGGCCAAACUGGAACUGAGACACGGUCCAGACUCCUACGGGAGGCAGCAGUAGGGAAUCUUCCGCAAUGGGCGAAAGCCUGACGGAGCAGCGCCGCGUGAGUGAUGAAGGUCUUCGGAUCGUGAAACUCUGUUAUUAGGGAAGAACAAAUGUGUAAGUGACUGUGCACGUCUUGACGGUACCUAAUCAGAAAGCCACGGCUAACUUCGUG
rnacentral:rRNA from 1 species